AACCCCGAAAAAUUUCCGCGGUUAUGUCUAAAACCGCAGAAAGUUUUUUUAAUUAUAUUUUAAACUUUCCACCCAACCCAACCCAUAUCCCCUUCCCGCGCCUUCAGUCAUCCAUCUAAUCUAAAAAUAUCUAAACCCUAGCCUCCCUCCCCCUGGCCUUCCGUCAAAUUUCCCCAAAUCCUUCCCCGCACUACAAUCUUCUUCUGCUUGCUUCUUGUUCGUCUUCUCCUACUGGGCUUCGUGUUCAUCUUCUCCUGCUCGGUUGAGCGUCGAGGUGGAGGCGUCGAGGCAUUUGUGGGUUGAGCGAGGUCGAGGUGCUCUGGUCCGCUUCCGCACUGACUGAUCUUAGGUCGAAGUCGAGGAGGUGUUAGGUCGCAGCCGUUUCUUCAAGUCUAUUCAGUGCAAACACGACGAGGGUUUGGUACUCGUCAAGGUCUAUUUCAAGCGCGGCGAUUUCCUCGAUCUCUCCAACUACGAACGUCGUCUCUCUCAGAUCAAUUCAUUCCGUCAUUCCGACGAGGGUUUGGCCGUUUCAGAGAACACUUUUGUUUUGCUUUCUACCUGUUUGUGCUUAAAAAGUUGUAUGUGAUUGAUUGACAAAGCUCCUUUAUAUACAUCGUCAAAGUUGUUAUCUUUUUGGAAGAGAACGAAGGGUUGCUAACAUCCCUACAGAUCAUCCAUCUUGCAGCAAGCAACAUGCUGUUGUUCAAUUCCGAUAAAAUUCCAGAUGCUUUGCUAAUCUUUAUCUCCUGUUUCCUGUUUCUUUUAAAAUGGCUAUGAAUCAUUAGAUAAAAGCUGUUUGAUAAAAGCUGUUUGUCAAACCUUAAUGGGUCCUGCGACUGGUCUUAGAUUGCAAAUGGAAGUAGUUCAUACCCCUUUUCUCUAGAUGUCCCAAGAAACACUAGGUUCUUGUUCUCUAAUAAAACUUCUACUCCUACAAAGGCAAUCUCCAAAUCAAUAGUAUAUUUACUAAAACCUGGUUGUCCAUCACAGCAGCACUUUGAAAAAUUGAUCAACAUUUUUGAACAGUUUGUUUGCUCACUUAUUGCUCCAAAUACACUACUUAGCUUAACUAAGCUUGCUUUCUCUUUAAUUCUGUUGUUUACUUAAUUUUUUGCUAUCAGAUACCUAUUUCUUUUUAAAAGUAUGUAACAUUUGGACUGGAUGAUGUGUUAAGGAAUAAAAAUGAUUAUGGUUUGUUGCAGGUAGUUAUUGUCUCAAGAGUACUUUCUGCUUUGAUGUUUGUCAUAAUUAAUCAGAAGUGUGUGAGAAUCUCAUGAGUUUUAAAUACUUCAGGUGUAUAACUCAGUAUCUUUGUGUGAGAAUCAAAUAGUUUUACACUAACAAGAGAAAAAUAAGCAAUCAUGAUUCAUACCAGGAUAUCAAGUUUCCCAAAUUAUAUAUAUAUAUAUAUAUAGAGGUAUUGUGUCAAUUGUUUAUUUGUACCUUGCAUCAUGAAAUUGUUAUAUAUACUUGCUAAAUUGUUCCUUCUCGUGAAACUUG